UUUUUUUUUUCAAAUAUUUCUAAUUUGAAAAGCAUUUUAAUGAGUUGUGUGAUUUGAGAUAGGGUGUGAUUUGUGAGUUUGUGUGUGGUUUGAGAAGGAAAGUUGCGGGUAUUUAUAGAAAAGCAGGGCUCGCUAAUUCCUCGUAAAAGGUUGACUCGUAAAUUCCACGUAAGCUUAAUCGUCGUAAAAAACUCGUAAACCUAAAUGCGGGCCUUUGUAAUUCAUCGCUACUUCCUCGUACAAUAAAACACGGACCUUUGUAAUUCCUCGUAAAGCUAAACGCGGGCCUUUGUAAUUCCUCGCUACUUCCUCAUACAAUAAAAAACGGGCCUUUGUAAUUCCUCGUAACUUUACGAGGAAAUAACGAGGAUAAGUAAUCUUAUAUAUACUUCCGAUCGCUCACUCUUUCUUUCCUCUCCACUUCCUCUCUAUUUCGUAGCAAUGGUAAGUCUCUCUAAUUCAUCUCUAAUUUGAUUAGUUUAGGAUAUAUUAGGUGGUUAGUAUAGGGAAUUUAGAUA
rnacentral:lncRNA from 1 species